ensembl:miRNA
ACUGAUGUCCUCAAAACUGAGGGGCAUUUUCUGUGAUUUGAAAGGAAAGUGCACCCAGUUUUGGGGAUGUCAA